rnacentral:rRNA from 1 species
UACCAGCACCCCGAGUUGUCGGGACGAUUAUUGGGCCUAAAGCAUCCGUAGCCUGUUCUGCAAGUCCUCCGUUAAAUCCACCCGCUUAACGGAUGGGCUGCGGGGGAUACUGCAGAGCUAGGAGGCGGGAGAGGCAAACGGUACUCAGUGGGUAGGGGUAAAAUCCAUUGAUCUACUGAAGACCACCAGUGGCGAAGGCGGUUUGCCAGAACGCGCUCGACGUGAGGAUGAGAACUGGGGGAGCAAACCGG